rnacentral:rRNA from 1 species
CCUACGGGAGGCAGCAGUGGGGAAUCUUCCGCAAUGGGCGAAAGCCUGACGGAGCAACGCCGCGUGAACGAUGAAGGUCUUAGGAUCGUAAAGUUCUGUUGUUAGGGACGAAGGGCAAGGGUUAUAAUACAGCCUUUGUUUGACGGUACCUAACGAGGAAGCCACGGCUAACUACGUGCCAGCAGCCGCGGUAAUACGUAUGUCGCAAGCGUUAUCCGGAUUUAUUGGGCGUAAAGCGCGUCUAGGCGGCUUAGUAAGUCUGAUGUGAAAAUGCGGGGCUCAACCCCGUGAUGGGGUCCGAACUGGUUUUCUUGAGUGCAGGAGAGGAAAGCGGAAUUCCCAGUGUAGCGGUGAAAUGCGUAGAUAUUGGGAAGAACACCAGUGGCGAAGGCGGCUUUCUGGACUGUAACUGACGCUGAGGCUC